AGGCCUAACACAUGCAAGUCGAGCGCGCCCUUCGGGGUGAGCGGCGGACGGGUUAGUAACGCGUGGGAAUAUGCCCGACACUAAGGAAUAGCCUCUGGAAACGGAGAGUAAUACCUUAUACGCCCUUCGGGGGAAAGAUUUAUCGGUGACGGAUUAGCCCGCGUUAGAUUAGAUAGUUGGUGGGGUAAUGGCCUACCAAGUCUACGAUCUAUAGCUGGUUUUAGAGGAUGAUCAGCAACACUGGGACUGAGACACGGCCCAGACUCCUACGGGAGGCAGCAGUGGGGAAUCUUGGACAAUGGGCGCAAGCCUGAUCCAGCCAUGCCGCGUGAGUGAUGAAGGCCUUAGGGUCGUAAAGCUCUUUCGCCAGAGAUGAUAAUGACAGUAUCUGGUAAAGAAACCCCGGCUAACUCCGUGCCAGCAGCCGCGGUAAUACGGAGGGGGUUAGCGUUGUUCGGAAUUACUGGGCGUAAAGCGCGCGUAGGCGGAUUAGUCAGUUAGAGGUGAAAUCCCGGGGCUCAACCCCGGAACUGCCUUUAAUACUGCUAGUCUUGAGUUCGAGAGAGGUGAGUGGAAUUCCGAGUGUAGAGGUGAAAUUCGUAGAUAUUCGGAGGAACACCAGUGGCGAAGGCGGCUCACUGGCUCGAUACUGACGCUGAGGUGCG
rnacentral:rRNA from 1 species